CAGGCGAGGGCGAAGUUUGGGGGCUCACUGGAGCAGGACCCCAGAGGUGGGCAGAGCCGCCGCGGCGGGACUUACCUGUCUCCCGCUCUUGAUGAGCCGGCUGAGACGGCGCCGUGGAUAGCUGGCAGGGCAGGUCCUCUCCCUUAGUGAAAGGGGCUCGCUUGGAGAACUCCAGCACCGAAGUGAGGGCCUGGGAGCGGACAUGGGGUCCCGGCUGGGGACACGGCAACCCUGAGGGCUGGGGAGUCAGCCAAGCAUCGGUGAGUGGACACGAAAGAUCCGCGCGCUGCACGGUGGUUUGCAGGCUCUUCGCAAUCGCCCGGCAAACACAAUCCCACCCGAUGCGGUUUUGAUUCUUGGCGCAGAAUAAGCGCCCUCGGGGGUGGGAUUUAUGUUUCACUCGCAGUCCUCCGAGCUCGGACUCUGCCCAGAUGCCGGGAACUCCAUCCAACAGAAUGCCCCUCCUCGAAAACACCCCCAAACACCUGAAGAGUGCAGGGCUCGCCGCGAAGUCCCUGAACUCGGUACCACACGGCGCGCCCGCGUUCGGGAGCAAAGGGGAGUACAUGCCAGGGAGCCGGGAGCCGGGGUCUGCAACCUAAUGUAGGCCCUCCACCCAGCGCCUGCGUGGACCUGCCCUGGGGCGUGGUUCCCAUCACGACCCGGCCCAAGGCCGCCAUUGCGGGAUUAGCAGCUCUCUUUUUCCUCCAUCCCACCCAUGGACCCCAAACGAAAUUUUAAUUUCGUCUGUUCUCCGUGGAAUUUAAGUCCUACUUGUCGGAGCUUUCGUAGUAACUCGGUUUGGGAAAACUGUGAAUAAUCCGGUUUGGCAGGGAAGGGAGGGGGAUGAAAAGUCUUCCCUCCGCUGGGCGGGGAGCGAGGUGGUUAAAGCCCCCACUCUCGGUGAGGCCCGCGAGGGGAAGGGGAAGUCUGUAGGGGCCCGCGUGCCCCGCCACACACAGGGAUUUGACUCUUGCUGAAAUGUGCAUGAGUAAUUGUCUCUUUUCUUCUUGAUGGAGCAGUGAAUGAGCGUGGGCUGGCUCUCCGCGCUCCGGGUGCGCUUACCUCCGCGCUCCUGAGAGCUUUCUCAGUGAUUGGCCUCAUUUUCCAGAUCACCUGGGAGAAGUUCCCGGGAAGGGGAAGGGGGAGACCAUGGGGUCAGCGCCGCCCAGAGAUCCUGGCACCGCUCGGCAGGCGGGCUGUGCCCUGUGUUCUCCGGCAGGCUCGGUCCUCAGUCACUUUCCCCGUGUCAUUGCUUUAUUUCCAAAUUUCACUCCCGCCCCGGGAAAAAUCUUUUAUUGGGGUUUGACUGGGACAUUUAAAGUACACACGUAUACGAGGUCACCAAAUUCAUUAAAAACAAUACCAUGAACCACUCUUGGACCAAAUAACUCCCUCCCCUCCAAAAAAGAAAACGGUUAACAAAAAAUGGGGCGGCCCUUUUGAAGAUGCGUUAGAGGCGCCGCCAUCCGCGACGGGAAAGCCAUUUGGCUGGCCUUGGCCCCAGCCCGGUGCGGGGGCGGGAAACGGCCGGGUUGGGGGCGCGGGAGUUCCGGGCGGGUGUCCCAACCCCGGGCCUGUCCGGCGGACAGACCGCGGGACGCCGCGCUAGAUGCCCGCGGGGAGCGCAGACAGCUGGAGGGAGGCCCAAAGCCAACCCGUCUGCAACGAAGUCGCGCGUCUGGAACGAAGGCAGCUCAUCUGGUUUCUCCAGACCUUUCCAGACCCUCGCACGGAACCUAGGGCGUUCCGCCCAAGUCUCCAUCGCCCAGCCCCAGACGGAAGCCGCUGGUAGGACGUGGCUGGAGUGGGAGCAGCACCUAGAGAGCACUGACGAAGUGGGUGCGUGCAAGGGCUCACAGGGACACAACACACUCCCUCCCAGACGCCAACAGCCGCAACACACACUCCGUAGGCCACCACGCCACGCCCGCAACACACACACAACCGCAUCAAGCCCACCACACAGGUGACACGCACCUUGUUACUUAGCCCCAUCCCUCUAGACCCCCUGGAUCCAGCGGAAAGUCUAAAUGGUGGGGUUAUUGGUUUCACUUUCUGUAGCCAAGACUAGACCCUUUUGAGGUCCGGCGUGUUUUUCUUUCGUAAGAAAAGAGUAGGUCCAAUCCUGCGCCUAGUCUGGGUUGGAGUCUGGGAGAAGGGGGACAGCCGCACCUCUGUUGGGCUGGGCCUGGGAGAAUGACCGGAGUGCUUUGGCGAGGGGUCGGGAGUGUUGGGUGGAUGGAGGGGCCGGGCCUCCACAUGGAUGCCGAAGUCGCACCCGCAAACUCAAAGUAAGAGAAAUAAUCACGAGUACCAACAAUACCUACCCCCGCCCCCGCCGCCGCAAACCAAACUCCGCAGCCUUUAACCCUGUGUACCACCUAGUUGGGCUCUGGGGGUGAUGUUGGGGGGAGAGUGGACAAGGAGAGAGGGGUGGGAGGCAGCACAGUCCCUCCAUCACUCCUCCCAGCUCUUGCAACCCUCCUCCACUGGGCUCAGCUAAGGGAGGCCCGGGUGCGAAGCCGAAAGGAGGGGCGGGCUCUCGCCAAUCUGUUUAAGAAGGGAGAGGUGGCUCCCGCCGCUCCUCCUGCCCACAUCUAUCCUCAACGUCAAUCACCCUCGUUAAUUCCCACUGGAAAGGAUCACCCAGGAGAGGUUCAUCAACUGCUGCUUGGAAAAGGCUGGAGGGCAGGGAAGGGUGUAGAGGGGGAAAGGGCUUGUCCUUGCUGGAGGGGAUUGGGGGCUCUGCUCCUCCUGACCUCCAAGGGGAGCUGAACUGAGCUGAGCUAUCCUUUCUAUCUUCUCAGACCAGUUUACCCCUUCUCUCCAGUGAAAACUCCUCUCAACUUGUGAGCUGAUAUGCAUCUGUCCUGGCCCCACCUUGGCUGAGAGGUGGCUCCCAAUCUCUGAGGGAGACAAGUCCUUCCCAGAAAGUGCCCAAGAACUAAUGGGAACGGGGAAGCUCAGUCCCACUCCUGGCUACUACCAGGCAACCCAAUAGGGCACUGCUUAGCUGCCCCGGGGUGUGAGGGUGCGGGUAGUGAUUCUGUGACUGUGGGAGACACAGAGGGAUCCAGAUGGAAGCACUGUUCCUGAAAACAAACCUAAGGAAACUUCUGGCAUCUUUGAAGGCUAAGCACCCAGCACGGCACCCGGCACACAGGCUAAAUGGUGGCAUGUGGAAUAAAUGGAUGAGGUUUAAUGCUGAUUGGACCAUCAGCAUCUCCAAAGCUACAAGCCUCUCCCCUUGGUGGCUGUGGGUGUGGAGACUCAGCAAAGCCUGAAGAAUGAAAACAGUGGGCACUCAGAAAAGAGGACGGCCAGGGAGGACAGCCAAGAGAGGGGUUAAGCUGGCGGCUGUGGAUCGGACACUCCCAUUCCCAUAGCAGGGCCUAACUCCCACCAGGUCUCAGUCCCAGAGGGUCCAUGAGCAGAGUGGGUCUCCAUGACAGUGUUUGCAAUAUGGGGAUGUGAGCAUGUGACUAGUGUGUAACUGAGACUGCAUGUGUGUGACUCUUUGUGGCUUGGGUGUGGCUCUGCGCAUUGUAUGCUGUGUGGCUGUGGGCUGCAUGUGACCAUGGUGUGGCUGUGUGUGUGUGUGACUAUGUGGGUAGAAAUGGGCAUUGCCUGUGUGAUGCUGUGUAUGCCUCUCAGGGGCUGGCUCUAGAGCGCUGGGUGUCAGUGUGUGCACAUGGCUGUCUGUGCAGCUGUGCGUGCGCCUCUGGGAGGAGACAGCUGUCAUGGGUGUACAUGCCCGUGUAGGAUCUGUGAUGUUAUUCGAGUGUGCCUUCUAGUCUGGCUGCGUGAUGGUGAGUGUUUACGCCUGGUGGGUUACAUGCCCUCAGUGUGUCACUGCGUGUCCCUCGGGGACUCAGCGUGUCACUGUGUGUGACUGUGUGUGAGACAGCAUGCCCCUCAAACCACCUUCCUUGAGCAGCUUUGAUGUGGUUGUUUCUAGGGGCCGUAGGACGCCAGUCACACUCCUGAGGACUUCAAAAGAUGGCUGUCCUUUCUGUCAGCUGGGGAAAAACUCAUUUCCCCUCACCCUCACCCUAUCCUCUGCCUGUCUUAGAGGCCUGUUUGUUUUCCUAUUUGUACUGCCUAGGGUGAGUUCAUGGCCACAACUGACUCACCACUUUUCCAAGAGACUUGGGGAAGGAAACAGGGGUUGCUUGGCUGGGGCCUCUGCCCAUUAGCCCGGGGACUUUCAGAGCAGGGCCGGGGGGGACAUCGGGGUCCAUUCUGGGCUGUGUGAGCACCUCAAGCCAUUCACCCUCCCCAAACCUGCAAGGCCGAGGAGUCUUCUUUCACAGUAAUUGUCUAGUGGCCAGUCUCCUACCUCAAAUAAGAGGCCUCUCUCCUCAUCUAAAAGUUCUCCCUUCCCUUUGCCAAGGUCGAUUAAAAAGAAAGUUGGAGCUUUGGAGGGGCCCUUGGCAUCUCCCUGGGAAUCGGAGUCACCGCAGGUGAUCCACGCUUGGUCCAGUUGAAGCAGCAGCCCGUGUGGCUCGCCUCAGCAGCACUGUUUGGGCGCCCCCUAUGGGCAGAGGCUGCCCAGGCUGAAGGAGGCGGAGCUAGAGGCCCGCACGGUUUGAUGGGAGAGACACCGUCGCUGUCUCCGAGCCGGGGAGUCUUCGCGGGAGUCAGAACCCUCCAACACACAAGCUCUGAGAAGACGGACAAGGAGGAUUCAAACUGUCCCUCCCUGGGCCAGGAGGAGAGUCGUGUUCUGAGUCUGAGGUGGAAUCAGAGAAGGCUUCUGGAAAGGGCUGAGCGAAUUGAUGCAGGCUGGGAGGGAGAGGGCGUCCCGGGGACCGGACAGCUGGGAGAACUGGGGUGGAACAAAUAUAGGAGGUGAGGUGAGCGGGAGGAGGCUGCAGCGGCAUAACCCUCAUGUGACAUGGUGGGGGGCAGGGGAGGGGACUCUGGCUGGGCCCUGUCCAUGUGGCAGAGGAACUCUACCUGAACAGAGAAUCUGUGGAUGGGAAGUCCCUGCUGGCGUCUACCUGGUGUCCCUCCGGCUGCAGCUAGCGUAGAGCACCCGAGUCUCCCAGGAGGGAGCUCAGAGGCUGUCCCUCACCACACUUUUCCCAGCUCUAGCUUGGGGAGCUGAGGCCUUAACCUUACUCCCAGUCAGCUGGCCCAGGCUGCUGACCAUCCUGCCCCCACAUGCCCCUGCCAGGGUCUUACCAGCCAGUGAUGAAAACUUCCCUCCAUUCCUGCCCUCCUCAGCUGCUGCUUUGGAAGCUCACUCCACAGAACCUAUCCCUCCGCUCUCCUGACCCUGGCCUGAAACUCCUCUACUUCAAAGUUAGAGGUAUUUGGGCCACCCUCCUGGAGGAAUUGAGAAGCGCUUCAGACUAAGUCAAGGGGCCGGGCUUUAGGGGACUCACUGGGCAAGGUGUUUAGCCUCAGUUUCUCCAUCUUCAAAAUGGGGCCAAUGGCCCCUGCCCUGUUGGGCUCCCAGGGUGGGUGUAGGGAAGGUGCCAGUGAGCUCAUGGGUGUGAAGGCCCUGGUGAGCUGUAAAUAGUCUGGUGCUCGUGGG